GCCUUGUGAAGAAGGUGCCUGCUUUCCCUUCGCCUUCCGCCAUGAUUGUUAAGUUUUCUGAGGCCUCCUAGCCACACUUCCUGGUUUUUGUCCCUCUCUUAAAGUGAAUGAUCACAGAGCCAUGAGCAGAUGGAAGAUGCAGGUGGAGGCAUCUUCCCUGUCACCAUUGGUAUGUCUGGUUGAAACCUGCAACAAGAUGGGUUCUCUACCUGGCUGAUGCCAUGUUGCCUGCUUCUUCACUGUGCACGUGGAGCCUGAGGGGAAUGUUUCAAGGAAGAGAGGACAAGCAAGUCAGCAUCUGGAGGAUCGGAGGCAGCACUGUGUUGCAUGGCUCCAGAGAGCACCACUCUCCUUGUGUUCUAUGCAACAUGGCCAUGAGUUAUGCAUUGGGGCACCUGGCCGUAAAUCAUCACCAACCCUGUGGAUGAAACAACACCCCAGGGAGGGUGGAGGAGUACAGGGGAAGGAGCCAGGGCCCCCAUGAAACAAACAUUUCUUCCAGGAAUUUCCCAAGCCCAGACCAUUGCAUGAAAAGAGAAAUAAAUAAUCUUUUUGUUUCUAUCAUAUUGUUUUUGGUCUCAGUCGGGGCAGCCGACCCUAUAUUGCAAAAAACAGACUCAAUCACCCUCAUUAUUAGGAAAGUCAGCUCUGCAGCAAUUCUUCCCUUAAACACCACAGGGUGUUCUGGGCGUUAAAGGGAAAACUUUAGAAAAACUAAAUGUAACAGAAUUUAAUUGAAUUGAAAAAUGGUUCUUGAA